CCUGCUACAAAAUGAACCAUUUUUCAGAUAAGUUUCUCUGCUUUGUUUCGAGCAGCAACAUUAACUUGCAAUCCUUCCUUCAUAUGUGUUCAUCAGAAGUUUGAGGCUCCUGAUUUGAAUUUCUCUACUUGUUAAAUUAGAGAUUACAGAGAAUGAAAAUGUUGUUUCUAUGAACUUUCUGACAAUUUUUAAUGUACUAGAUCAGUAAAAAUUAUGUCUAGCCAUGUUUAUCUACAAGAGCUUUAAAAUGUCAUGCCUACCAGUCUUAACAAAUUUAUCAUCUAAUGUAUAGUUGCCAGGCGCCAGCAGAUAAUAGUUUUAGUAUCGGAAUAUCGGGAAUCAGUGAAAGCACUACUCACGCUGGUUAUGAAUGGCAUUCAAAUUAGUACCUCGAUGUUUCUUGUUCACUUCCUUCGCUCAAAACUUGUCCAAACUGAGUUUUUCAUCGUAUGUUUCUUCUGACUCUCAUGAGCUCUCACCAGCUAACGAACUACAGUUAGAGUUCAGGGAAUAUUUGAAACCGUCCCUUCCAUCUCUUCAGACAUCAAAUGACGCAGACAUGGUGGCUAACCUUUUAAUAGAGCACCAUGAUCCUUAUCAUGCUAUGGAAUCCACUCUACUUCAUCUCAAUGGUAUAAGAGUUUCUACUGAGUUGGUUCAGCAAACUCUGAUUAGAUUGAAAAAUGUGCCGAACGUUGCAUUGGAUUUCUUUGUUUGGGCAAAAGAACAACCAGGUUACCACCAUGACGGGGUUGCUUAUGAUAUGAUGAUUGAUAUCAUGGGAAAAGUACGGCAAUUUGACGUCGCUUGGCAGUUGCUUCUUGAAAUGGAUCAGCUAGGUGAUAAACCGACAUCGAAAACUUUUGGCAUUUUGUUUCGGAGAUUGAUAGCUGCAGGACUUACAAGGCAAGCCCUCCAAGCUUUUGAUGACAUGGAGAGUUUCACAAAAAGGGAAACUGAUAGAGAAGAUUUUGUUUACCUUCUUGACACUCUGUGUAAGUAUGGAUAUGCUAAGGUGGCUACGGAGAUCUUCAGUGGAAGGAAAUCCAAAUUUGAACCAGAUACGCAAAUGUAUACAGUUCUGAUUUAUGGUUGGUGCAAGUUAAAUCGACCCGAAGUGGCAGAGAAAUUCUUUAGAGAAAUGAUAGAUCGUGGAUUAGAAGCGAAUGUUGUUACCUAUAAUGUUCUCUUGAAUGGAAUUUGCCGUAGAACAGUCUUACACCCAGGAACUCAUUUUGAAGGAAUCAUUCAAAAGGCUGAGAACUUGUUGGAUGAAAUGCAGAAGAGGGGAAUAGAACCAGAUGUGACUAGCUACUCUAUUGUUAUUCACAUUUACAGCCGUGCGCAUAAACCAGAUUUGUCGCUUGAUAAGUUGUGUUCGAUGAAAGAAAAAGGGAUUUUCCCCACAGUGGCAACCUAUAGUUCAGUUAUAAAAUGUCUUUGUUCAUGUGGAAGGCUCGAAGAUGCUGAGGAGAUCCUUAAUGAGAUGGUUGCUAAUGGAGUAAGUCCAUCUCCUACAACUUUUAACUGUUUCUUUAAGGAAUUUCAAGGGAGGAAACAUGCUGAUAAUGCCUUGAAAUUGUACAAGAAGAUGGGAGACUUGUCAUGUACGCCAAGUUUGUCCACAUAUAAUAUAUUAGUUGGAACAUUUUCAAGGUUGAACAAGAUGGAUAUAGUGCAGGAGAUAUGGAAUGACAUGAAGGAGAGCGGAGCUGGUCCAGAUUCGGAUUCAUAUACAUUGUUGAUUGAUGGAUUAUAUGAGAAACGGAAGUGGGAAGAAGCUUGUGAGUUUGUGGUGGAGAUGAUAGAGAGUGGAUUUCGUCCACAAAAGAUCACAUUGGAGAAACUGUACAAAGGUUUAACACAAGCUGAUAUGUUGACGACUUGGAGAAGAUUGAAGAAGAAACUUGAAGCCUUACCACUUAAACCCUUAUAGAAGAUUUUUUGUUUUUUUUUCAAAGCAAUACGACUUGGAACCUCCCAUUACAAUUUAAGAACGGUAACCUGUUGAGCAACUGCUGGAUUCUGAUGGAAAAGAACAAAUUCAGAGGCCCGACUCUUUUGCUUGGUUCAUUGGUAACUCCUGGAUCCUCUGCAUUAUAGUGACUUCUGCAUGAUUGAACCUGCCAUCGGGAUACCGCCUCAGCACCUGUUGAGAACUUGGCUUGGUACGCACCUUUCAACAGAUGGUUUCAUUUGUGUGCAUUAGCUUCCUCUGCAACUAAGGUCCUUCCUCUGAUCUUUCUUCCAUUGCCUUUGGUUCUUUCAUAAGGAGUCUGGUGACUUGCAUGUAUGACCUGCUUCCCUCUCUCUUCAACUUGGUCAUUUAGUUCUAUGGGGUACUACGCAGUCUCCGGCUUGGCUAUUGAGUGAAUCUCAUGCAGGUUUUCUCAAAUUGCUGCUGUUACGCUGUAUGGAUUCUGCAAAACUAAAUAAGCGACCUAUGGAGAUAGUAGUCACUCUACAUCGCUGCAUAAUUUGGUUUGUAUAUUACAGAAACACCGUUCUCUGCAAACUUUUGUGGGUGCAAACUGUAAGUUCUGGGAGAGACAGAAGAGUAGUAUUUAUUUUUACACUGUCCUUACACUUGGGAGUUAUAGGAGUUCCUUGGUUUUGUUUCAGUUGUCAAGCCUCUUUGUUAACUUCAGUUAAUGGGAGCUUAGCAUUGUUGAGCUUAGUGUUUCUUUUUCGACGGUUCUCUUUUGAGCUGUGCUUGAUUAGCUACCUUGUUCUCCGGAGGUGUUAUACUCCUUCCUGGGCGACACAAACUGACUUUCAAGCAUCUGAGUUACAUCAAAAGGACUUUAGUCAGUCCAUGCUCCUUUCUCAGGAUUGUAAAUCUUGAUGAUCACAACGUGGGAAGGUAAAUUAACAACCCACGCAACCUAAACUCAAACACCAGUUAAGUGAAUAAGCAGCAAACUUCAAAUUCUAAGUAGAAGUGCUAGAAACACAUGAUAUAUAGCCACACACAAAAAAAAGUGUCACCUCGAUA